rnacentral:rRNA from 1 species
GAUGAACGCUGGCGGCGUGCCUAAUACAUGCAAGUCGAGCGAGCAGACGAGGAGCUUGCUCCUCUGACGUUAGCGGCGGACGGGUGAGUAACACGUGGAUAACCUACCUAUAAGACUGGGAUAACUUCGGGAAACCGGAGCUAAUACCGGAUAAUAUAUUGAACCGCAUGGUUCAAUAGUGAAAGACGGUUUUGCUGUCACUUAUAGAUGGAUCCGCGCCGCAUUAGCUAGUUGGUAAGGUAACGGCUUACCAAGGCAACGAUGCGUAGCCGACCUGAGAGGGUGAGCUGCCACACUGUAACUGAGACACGGUCCAGACACCUACACGAGGCAGCACUAGGGAAUCCUCCGCCAUUGGCGAAAGCCUGACGGAGCAACGCCGCGUGGGUGAUGAAGGUCUUCGGAUCCUAAAACUCUGUUAUUAGGGAAGAACAAAUGUGUAAGUAACUAUGCACGUCUUGACGGUACCUAAUCAGAAAGCCACGGCUAACUACGUG